rnacentral:rRNA from 1 species
UACAGAGGGUGCAAGCGUUAAUCGGAGUUACUGGGCGUAAAGGGCGCGUAGGCGGCCACGUAAGUGAGAUGUGAAAUCCCCGGGCUUAACCUGGGAACUGCAUUUUAGACUGUGUGGCUGGAGUACUGUAGAGGAUAGUGGAAUUUCCGGUGUAGCGGUGAAAUGCGUAGAGAUCGGAAGGAACACCAGUGGCGAAGGCGACUGUCUGGACAGAUACUGACGCUGAGGCGCGAAAGCGUGGGGAGCAAACAGG